AGCCCCCUGAAGAAAUAUGGGGUUUAUCCUGCCCAGUGGUCAAAGACUAAACGGCCGCGGUAUCUUGACCGUGCAAAGGUAGCAUAAUCACUUGUCUUUUAAAUGAAGACUUGUAUGAACGGAAUAACCUUUCUUAACUGUCUCCCUUGUUUUCCUCUAAAACUCCUAUUCAGGUGAAGAAUCCUGAAUAAUACAGAAAGACGAGAAGACCCUGUCGAGCUUCAGCUGAAUAGGAGUUUUAGUAUUACUUUAUCAUCCUCCUAUAGCUUUGGUUGGGGCAACCACGGAGAAAAAGAAUCCUCCGGGAAUCGUAGAAGACUAUACCCUUCUCCACAUACAAAAGAAGAACCAGAAUCUGGUAAACGGAAAAAGUUACCGCAGGGAUAACAGCGUUAUCUCCUCUAAGAGUCCAUAUUGACGAGGAGGCUUGCGACCUCGAUGUUGGAUUGGGGUAUCCCCAGGGUGCAGAAGCUCUGAAAGGUCGGACUGUUCGUCCGUUAAAACCCUACAUGAUCUGAGUUCAGACCGACGCGAGUCAGGUCAGUUUCUAUCUUCUAGUUAGAGCCCUUCUAGUACGAAAGGACCGAGAGGCCCCUUUAAAUGGACAUCUCCAAAAAGGCAAGAAAAAAUUAAAAAUCUAAUAAGAAACAAAACACUCAAGCCAAGAAUAAAGCACACCCAGAACAAAUCAAACUUUAAUCAUGCUUAAACUCUCACUUAAAAAGAAAAACUCUAAUUUCUUAAAGUACUCCCCCCUUACAAAUC
rnacentral:rRNA from 1 species